UACCAGCACCCCGAGUGGUCGGGACGAUUAUUGGGCCUAAAGCAUCCGUAGCCGGUUCUGCAAGUCCUCCGUUAAAUCCAGCUGCUCAACAGAUGGGCCGCGGAGGAUACUACAGAGCUAGGAGGCGGGAGAGGCAAGCGGUACUCGAUGGGUAGGGGUAAAAUCCGUUGAUCCAUUGAAGACCACCAGUGGCGAAGGCGGCUUGCCAGAACGCGCUCGACGGUGAGGGAUGAAAGCUGGGGGAGCA
rnacentral:rRNA from 1 species